rnacentral:rRNA from 1 species
AGUGAACGCUGGCGGCAGGCCUAACACAUGCAAGUCGAGCGGCAGCGCGGGGGCAACCCUGGCGGCGAGCGGCGGACGGGUGAGGAAUUCGUCGGAAUCUGCCUUUUUGUGGGGGAUAACGUAGGGAAACUUACGCUAAUACCGCAUACGUCCUACGGGAGAAAGUGGGGGACCGCAAGGCCUCACGCAGAAAGAUGAGCCGACGACCGAUUAGCUAGUUGGUGGGGUAAAGGCCCACCAAGGCGACGAUCGGUAGCUGGUCUGAGAGGAUGAUCAGCCACACUGGGACUGAGACACGGCCCAGACUCCUACGGGAGGCAGCAGUGGGGAAUAUUGGACAAUGGGCGCAAGCCUGAUCCAGCCAUGCCGCGUGUGUGAAGAAGGCCUUCGGGUUGUAAAGCACUCUUGUCCGGAAAGAAAUCCCUGGAGCUAAUACCUUCGGGGGAUGACGGUACCGGAAGAAUAAGCACCGGCUAACUUCGUG